rnacentral:rRNA from 1 species
CCUACGGGUGGCAGCAGUGGGGAAAUUGCACAAUGGGCGCAAGCCUGAUGCAGCCAUGCCGCGUGUGUGAAGAAGGCCUUCGGGUUGUAAAGCACUUUCAGCGGGGAGGAAGGCGUUAAGGUUAAUAACCUUGUCGAUUGACGUUACCCGCAGAAGAAGCACCGGCUAACUCCGUGCCAGCAGCCGCGGUAAUACGGAGGGUGCAAGCGUUAAUCGGAAUUACUGGGCGUAAAGCGCACGCAGGCGGUCUGUCAAGUCGGAUGUGAAAUCCCCGGGCUCAACCUGGGAACUGCAUUCGAAACUGGCAGGCUAGAGUCUUGUAGAGGGGGGUAGAAUUCCAGGUGUAGCGGUGAAAUGCGUAGAGAUCUGGAGGAAUACCGGUGGCGAAGGCGGCCCCCUGGACAAAGACUGACGCUCAGGUGCGAAAGCGUGGGGAGCAAACAGGAUUAGAUACCCUAGUAGUC